UUGGGCGUAAAGCGAGCGCAGGCGGUUUGAUAAGUCUGAAGUUAAAGGCUGUGGCUCAACCAUAGUUCGCUUUGGAAACUGUCAAACUUGAGUGCAGAAGGGGAGAGUGGAAUUCCAUGUGUAGCGGUGAAAUGCGUAGAUAUAUGGAGGAACACCGGUGGCGAAAGCGGCUCUCUGGUCUGUAACUGACGCUGAGGCUCGAAAGCGUGGGGAGCGAACAGGAUUAGAUACCCUGGUAGUCCACGCCGUAAACGAUGAGUGCUAGGUGUUGGAUCCUUUCCGGGAUUCAGUGCCGCAGCUAACGCAUUAAGCACUCCGCCUGGGGAGUACGACCGCAAGGUUGAAACUCAAAGGAAUUGACGGGGGCCCGCACAAGCGGUGGAGCAUGUGGUUUAAUUCGAAGCAACGCGAAGAACCUUACCAGGUCUUGACAUCCCGAUGCUAUUUCUAGAGAUAGAAAGUUACUUCGGUACAUCGGUGACAGGUGGUGCAUGGUUGCCGUCAGCUCGUGUCGUGAG
rnacentral:rRNA from 1 species